AUUUUCACUAACACCAGCAUUAAUGCACCAGAUGCCAUCGAGACUCCACAGUUAAGCACACUUGGGAUAGAUUUGUACUUGGAUGGGUGAACUCUUGGGAAGUCCUAGUUUUGCACCCU
rfam:Picea glauca, whole genome shotgun sequence.